CUUUACUGUAGCUUUGCAUUGGACUUUGAACCGGUCUGUGUAGGAUAGGUGGGAGACUUUGAAGCCGGGACGCUAGUCUCGGUGGAGUCAACCUUGAAAUACCACCCUGGUUUGUUUGAGGUUCUAACCUUGAUCCGUGAAUCCGGAUCGGGGACCGUGCAUGGUGGGCAGUUUGACUGGGGCGGUCUCCUCCCAAAAGGUAACGGAGGAGUACGAAGGUACGCUUAGGGCGGUCGGACAUCGCCCAUAAAGUGCAAUGGCAAAAGCGUGCUUGACUGCGAGACCCACAAGUCGAGCAGGUGCGAAAGCAGGUCAUAGUGAUCCGGUGGUUCUGUAUGGAAGGGCCAUCGCUCAACGGAUAAAAGGUA
rnacentral:rRNA from 1 species